rnacentral:lncRNA from 1 species
ACUGUUGGAACAUAUCCUGUAAUAACAAGGACAACAUUCACCAACAAAAGCCAAUAAAAAGACAGUUCACUAGAGAGAGAGAGAGAUGGAUAUAGUUGGAGAAGUGUUGCAAGAGUACUUGAGUAGGAGAUAAGAAGACAAGUUUAGCCCACAACUCCAACACAAACAGUGACGCACUUUAUAGCUGCUGUUGUUGUUGAUACUGAUGCCGCAGCCAAAGAAGCUGACAUUUGAUUGAAAUAUGAGAAUGGUACUUUGAGUUAGCUUCGCUUUCACUUUUUGUACUCAUGGUUAAGUAUAUAAGGAAACUGAGACUUAGAUGAAAAGCUGCAAAAUUUUAAAAUCUUAGAAAAAAGAGUAAACUUUAAUUUCAGAGGCAAAACUAUUUGAAUGCAUAUACUUAAUUCAUCUUAAUUGUAAUAUCGUAAUAAAUCAAGUUUUUAAAAAACUUUAUUUCAUAUUUUUUGAAACCUCCUAUAGUGAAUAGCAUAGAGAAAUAAGCACGGAGACCAUAGCUUUAAAACCGAUAUGUCAUACCGGCAACAACGGAGUAAGCUGAUAAGCGACUCUAAGAACGCCAAUAAACAAGGAGCGAAUCGAUUCAACCCGGCCAAAACUAAUCCCACGAAACAGAUUAGUGAAGGAACGAAACCGAGGAGAAUUCAAAGGCGAACACCAAGGAGUCCGGAGACAUGCAAGCUUAGAGAGGAGUCACAAUCACAACCGCUCAAUCGAAGCUGACUACGAAUCAGAGAACAUGCAGACAGAUCUAGAACAGAGGAAGCAAAACCAAGGCAAAAGAGAAACCUUGAUAUGAAAAAGAACAGAACACAACUAGAUCUGAAGAGAAAACUCGCGUGCACCAAUUCAUCCUUGAAGCUUGAUCCUUCGCACCACCGAAAACACAAACUAAAGCUUAAAUGAGAGGAGAAACCAGUUCCGGUAAUUGAGAAAGCCACCGGAGCCAGUC